rnacentral:rRNA from 1 species
AUUCCCCUAGUAACUGCGAGUGAAGCGGGAAAAGCUCAAAUUUAAAAUCUGGUGGCCUCUGGUCGCCCGAGUUGUAAUUUAGAGAAGCGUCUUCCGCGCUGGACCAUGCACAAGUCUCCUGGAAUGGAGCCUCAUAGAGGGUGAGAAUCCCGUCUUUGGCAUGGAUGCACCAGGGCUUUCGUGAUGCGCUCUCAAAGAGUCGAGUUGUUUGGGAAUGCAGCUCAAAAUGGGUGGUGAACUCCAUCUAAAGCUAAAUAUAGGCGAGAGACCGAUAGCGAACAAGUACCGUGAGGGAAAGAUGAAAAGCACUUUGGAAAGAGAGUGAAACAGUACGUGAAAUUGUUGAAAGGGAAACGCUUGAAGUCAGUCGCGUCGACCGAGACUCAGCCUCGCCUUGGCUUGGUGUACUUCUCGGCCGACGGGUCAGCGUCAAUUUUGCCCCUCGGAUAAUGGCAAGGGAAAGGUAGCACCUUUAUAGGUGUGUUAUAGUCUCUUGUCGCAUGCGAGGGUCGGGAUUGAGGAACUCAGCACGCACCUCUCGGUGUCGGGGCUUCGGCCCACGCUACGUGCUUAGGAUGCUGGCGUAAUGGCUUUAAACGACCCGUCUUGAAACACGGACCAAGGAGUCUAACAUGCCCGCGAGUGUUCGGGUGGAAAACCCGUGCGCGUAAUGAAAGUAAAAGUUGGGACCUCUGUCGUGGGGGGCACCGACGCCCGGACCAGACCUUCUGUGACGGAUCUGCGGUAGAGCGUGCAUGUUGGGACCCGAAAGAUGGUGAACUAUGCCUGAAUAGGGUGAAGCCAGAGGAAACUCUGGUGGAGGCUCGUAGCGAUUCUGACGUGCAAAUCGAUCGUCAAAUUUGGGUAUAGGGGCGAAAGAC